rnacentral:rRNA from 1 species
GAAGGUGUACUGUGAGGUAUGCUGGAGGUAUCAGAAGUGCGAAUGCUGACAUAAGUAACGAUAAAGCGGGUGAAAAGCCCGCUCGCCGGAAGACCAAGGGUUCCUGUCCAACGUUAAUCGGGGCAGGGUGAGUCGACCCCUAAGGCGAGGCCGAAAGGCGUAGUCGAUGGGAAACAGGUUAAUAUUCCUGUACUUGGUGUUACUGCGAAGGGGGGACGGAGAAGGCUAUGUUGGCCGGGCGACGGUUGUCCCGGUUUAAGCGUGUAGGCUGGUUUUCCAGGCAAAUCCGGAAAAUCAAGGCUGAGGCGUGAUGACGAGGCACUACGGUGCUGAAGCAACAAAUGCCCUGCUUCCAGGAAAAGCCUCUAAGCAUCAGGUAACAUCAAAUCGUACCCCAAACCGACACAGGUGGUCAGGUAGAGAAUACCAAGGCGCUUGAGAGAACUCGGGUGAAGGAACUAGGCAAAAUGGUGCCGUAACUUCGGGAGAAGGCACGCUGAUAUGUAGGUGAAGUCCCUCGCGGAUGGAGCUGAAAUCAGUCGAAGAUACCAGCUGGCUGCAACUGUUUAUUAAAAACACAGCACUGUGCAAACACGAAAGUGGACGUAUACGGUGUGACGCCUGCCCGGUGCCGGAAGGUUAAUUGAUGGGGUUAGCGGUAACGCGAAGCUCUUGAUCGAAGCCCCGGUAAACGGCGGCCGUAACUAUAACGGUCCUAAGGUAGCGAAAUUCCUUGUCGGGUAAGUUCCGACCUGCACGAAUGGCGUAAUGAUGGCCAGGCUGUCUCCACCCGAGACUCAGUGAAAUUGAACUCGCUGUGAAGAUGCAGUGUACCCGCGGCAAGACGGAAAGACCCCGUGAACCUUUACUAUAGCUUGACACUGAACAUUGAGCCUUGAUGUGUAGGAUAGGUGGGAGGCUUUGAAGUGUGGACGCCAGUCUGCAUGGAGCCGGCCUUGAAAUACCACCCUUUAAUGUUUGAUGUUCUAACGUUGGCCCCUGAUCGGGGUUGCGGACAGUGUCUGGUGGGUAGUUUGACUGGGGCGGUCUCCUCCUAAAGAGUAACGGAGGAGCACGAAGGUUGGCUAAUCCUGGUCGGACAUCAGGAGGUUAGUGCAAUGGCAUAAGCCAGCUUGACUGCGAGCGUGACGGCGCGAGCAGGUGCGAAAGCAGGUCAUAGUGAUCCGGUGGUUCUGAAUGGAAGGGCCAUCGCUCAACGGAUAAAAGGUACUCCGGGGAUAACAGGCUGAUACCGCCCAAGAGUUCAUAUCGACGGCGGUGUUUGGCACCUCGAUGUCGGCUCAUCACAUCCUGGGGCUGAAGUAGGUCCCAAGGGUAUGGCUGUUCGCCAUUUAAAGUGGUACGCGAGCUGGGUUUAGAACGUCGUGAGACAGUUCGGUCCCUAUCUGCCGUGGGCGCUGGAGAACUGAGGGGGGCUGCUCCUAGUACGAGAGGACCGGAGUGGACGCAUCACUGGUGUUCGGGUUGUCAUGCCAAUGGCACUGCCCGGUAGCUAAAUGCGGAAGAGAUAAGUGCUGAAAGCAUCUAAGCACGAAACUUGCCCCGAGAUGAGUUCUCCCUGACUCCUUGAGAGUCCUGAAGGAACGUUGAAGACGACGACGUUGAUAGGCCGGGUGUGUAAGCGCAGCGAUGCGUUGAGCUAACCGGUACUAAUGAACCGUGAGGCUUAACCUU